GAGGGUACAGCUCAGUGGUAGAGUGUGUGCUUAGCAUGCAUGAGGUCCUGGGUUCAAUCCCCAGUACUUCCA
rnacentral:tRNA from 1 species